AUGAGUCUGAAGUGAUCACUUCGCAGGAAAACUUGAUACAAAGUGUUAUCCAGACUCACAUUCAGACUCAUCUGGCAAAGAGGAAAGGACAAAGAGCAAAGAUGAGCUGAUAGUCCUAUGUGGCAUAUUACUGGUUUUUGGUAUCACAGGAACAGAAGAAAGAGUUUAGGGUUCUUUUGUAUUUACAGAAUCAAGAAGCUAUUCAACAAAUAGGUUCAGAAGUGAUCCAGAGCAGAAUGUUUCCCAAUCUCAUCCUUCAUCUUGGAAAUGCAGUCCUCAGAAGCAGGAGAUUCUACAUUGCACUUCUGUGCCAGCAGCUCU